AUUUUUUUGAAAAAAGGGCUUGCAUUUGUAAAGCAAAUAUGGUAUUAUAAUUAGGCACUGAAAAAUAAAUAUCGCGGGAUGGAGCAGUUUGG
rnacentral:ncRNA from 1 species